UACGUAGGGUGCGAGCGUUGUCCGGAAUUAUUGGGCGUAAAGGGCUCGUAGGCGGUUUGUCGCGUCGGGAGUGAAAACCCAGGGCUUAACCCUGGGCUGGCUUCCGAUACGGGCAGACUAGAGGUAUGCAGGGGAGAACGGAAUUCCUGGUGUAGCGGUGAAAUGCGCAGAUAUCAGGAGGAACACCGGUGGCGAAGGCGGUUCUCUGGACCGAGACUGACGCUGAGGCGCGAAAGCGUGGGGAGCAAACAGG
rnacentral:rRNA from 1 species